AAGCAAGGCCAGGGGGCAGUCGGACUGUACCCACUCAAGUCCCGCCCCUGCAGGUGUUUUACCCCAAGGACAGCUACAGCCAUCCUGUGCAGCUUGACCUCCUGUUCCGGCAGAUCCUGCACGACACGCUCUCCGAGGCCUGCCUUCGCAUCUCUGAGGAUGAGAGGCUCAGGAUGAAGGCUUUGUUUGCCCAGAACCAGCUGGACACACAGAGGCCUCUGGUAACGGAAAGUGUGAAGCGGGCCGUGGUCAGCACUGCACGAGACACCUGGGAGGUCUACUUCUCCCGCAUCUUCCCCGCCACGCGUGGGCACUGGUGUGCAGCUCCUAGCUGUGUCCCACGUGGGCAUCAAACUCCUGAGGAUGGUCAAGGGUGGCCAGGAGGCCGGCGGGCAGCUGCGGGUCCUGCGUGCAUACAGCUUUGCAGAUAUCCUGUUUGUGGCCAUGCCCUCCCAGAACAUGCUGGAGUUCAACUUGGCGAGUGAGAAGGUCAU
rnacentral:sRNA from 1 species